AUCUCUCUGUAAAAUGCCAUGUCUGUAGGUCUCUCUGUUUCACUCUCUCUUUUGUAUUGACCUCUCUUUUGUUUGAGCACCUCCAUAUCACUUUGUCCUCACCUAGUUAUUUGUUCCUGUCUACACGAUGUACUGAGAACCCAGCUGGCUGUAUGGAUAUCCCAAGAGAGCCAUGUUUCCGUGAAACAAUUCCUGAUGUCUCUCUGGAAGGAGAUCCUCACCCUGAGCUCAUCUACUUUAUUAUCCAGAGACUGAACAUUAGUGAGUAAUAUACUCUGAAGCGGUGGAGGAUGUGCACGCCUCCUGAGUCAGACUAGAAGUCCACUCUGAAUACCUCUUCUCCACCGUCGUUGUUUUGGAGCAGCCUCUGGAAUAAGUUGAAUUGGUCUUUAGCUUUUUCAAGUACAUAAGCACUAAUUUUCAUUUAACAGGUCCAUUCAGUCCAUUAACUUUCAAUGAUGUAUGAUUUACUGUCUUAGCCAGGAAUAUGUCCAAAAAGGGUGUCGGAUAUUCUUUUGCUUAUUUUCAGUGAGCCUGUAGUCAAACACAUCAUAUAAAGUAAACGUCUGUCAGAAAAAAUUACUGUAACAUAAAGAAAACAAAACAAUC